CCGCCUGGGGAGUACGGCCGCAAGGUUAAAACUCAAAUGAAUUGACGGGGGCCCGCACAAGCGGUGGAGCAUGUGGUUUAAUUCGAUGCAACGCGAAGAACCUUACCUACUCUUGACAUCCAGAGAAUUUAGCAGAGAUGCUUUAGUGCCUUCGGGAACUCUGAGACAGGUGCUGCAUGGCUGUCGUCAGCUCGUGUUGUGAAAUGUUGGGUUAAGUCCCGCAACGAGCGCAACCCUUAUCCUUUGUUGCCAGCGAUUCGGUCGGGAACUCA
rnacentral:rRNA from 1 species